rnacentral:lncRNA from 10 species
GGCGGCGCCGGAGUCCUAGGCGCGCAAGGUCCAGUUCCCGUCUUGGGCCUGUCCUGGAUAGCGUUAGGGAGACAGUUCACAGGCUCUUCAAUCUUCGAGCGAGAAUUAGGGUGGGAAGGGUGAGUGUGGGGUCAGAGUUUCUGUCUGGAGAACAAGCAAACGUCUGCAGAUUGGUUUUCAAAGCGACUUGUGCGGAGUCGUGCAGUUACAGUAAGGUCCCAUCCAGCCUGGGAAUCGCCUGUCUUGGCUACGUGAAAAUGCUGAGUUUAACGAAAACGCAGUGAGCAGGUGUCAUCAGGUCAGCGCCGCUCAACCGUGAGAGACAAUCAUGGGGAAGAGUGACGCCUAAAAUAAACAAGCAAGGUUCUUUUA